rnacentral:rRNA from 1 species
AGUGAACGCUGGCGGUAGGCCUAAUACAUGCAAGUCGAACGGCAGCACAGUAAGAGCUUGCUCUUACGGGUGGCGAGUGGCGGACGGGUGAGGAAUACAUCGGAAUCUACUUUUUCGUGGGGGAUAACGUAGGGAAACUUACGCUAAUACAGCAUAGGACCUACGGGUGAAAGCAGGGGAUCUUCGGACCUUGCGCGAUUGACUGAGCUGAUGUCGGAUUAGCCAGUUGGCGGGCUAAAGGCCCACCAAGGCGACGAUCCUUAGCUGGUCUGAGAGGAGGAUCAGCCACACUGGAACUGGGACACGGUCCAGACUCCUACGGGAGGCGGCAGUGGGGAAUAUUGGACAAUGGGCGCAAGCCUGAUCCAGCCAUACCGCGUGGGUGAAGAAGGCCUUCGGGUGGUAAAGCCCUUUUGUUGGGAAAGAAAAGCAGCAGGUUAAUACCCCGCUGUUCUGACGGUACCCUAAGAAUAAGCACCGGCUAACUACGUG